rnacentral:rRNA from 1 species
UACAGAGGGUGCGAGCGUUGCUCGGAAUCACUGGGCGUAAAGCGCACGUAGGCGGAUUGUUAAGUCGGGGGUGAAAUCCUGGAGCUCAACUCCAGAACUGCCUUCGAUACUGGCGAUCUUGAGUCCGGGAGAGGUGAGUGGAACUCCGAGUGUAGAGGUGAAAUUCGUAGAUAUUCGGAAGAACACCAGUGGCGAAGGCGGCUCACUGGCCCGGUACUGACGCUGAGGUGCGAAAGCGUGGGGAUCAAACAGG